CCAGGAUGUGUGGCCAACCAGUCUAGACAGGCUGGCCUUAUCCUCUGAUGUCAAGAAAGCUUCUUGUGAUGCGAGAGUGUAUGGGCUGAACAGUGUGAGAAAUGUAUCCUCAAUAGCAGCCACAUUUGACACCCACAGGGCUGGCCCUGGAUCUGGCAGAACCUCUUCAGCCUGUGAGGCAGAAAGGUAGAGGGGAGCAGCCAGGAGCAUCGACCAUACAGAAACAUUGCCUUGCCUCUUGGCGCUACCCUCUUCAGGUCCAGGAGAAGCCUGGAGCCCAAGUGAUCAGGGCUGACCAGUAUCAGUGAUGGAUGCGAUCGGCGAUCUCCUCAGGACAUCUGUCAGUGUGCUGCCUCGGACUGAUCCCUUUACCAGCCUAGGGGAGGAAGGGAGCCCGCCUUCAAGCUGAAGUGAGAUCACCUCAUCCAAGGAAGUCACAAAGGGCUGACAGUGCAGAUCAUCUCUGUGCACUCUGGAAGCAUCAGGAAGCCAUUAAAGAAGACGCAAAUGACGUCAAUACCUCAACGGGAUGCAGGCAGCCCUCAGCAUGGCCUGCUUCUUGAUCAGAGAGAGAGAGAGAGGGAGAGAGAGAGAGAGAUCCAGCAGAAGGUUGGAGAGAACAUCUUUGAAGUGCCGCACACCUGCUCAGUAAAACUGAGCUCAUAGAGAUUUCAGGCAGUCUAAGCCUCAGUUUCCCCUGUUCUAGGAGAGGAAUACCUGGUAAGCUUGUGGCGCUCUCAAGAGGCAAGACUGCCAACUAUGUAGAAAUGGCCCUGUGAACACUGCUUAUUAGUAU
rnacentral:lncRNA from 1 species